ACACACACGCACGGAGCUUACAGGCACGGUGUAAGGGACACAACUCUGAACCCUGACGUGCCGGAAGUAGACACCGACACAACAUGGCGUCUCUCUUCUUUCGAACUGGACGGUCUGCUGCAGAACGAUGGACGCACAACUAUGGCUCCAAGAUUGUGGCUGCUAUUUCACCUGCUGCUUUGUGUGGCCACAGACUGCAGCAGCAACGCAAUCUCUCUAUUCAUGAACAUCUGAGCAUGGGGUUAUUAAAAGACGCUGGUGUGGCAGUUCCAAGGUUCAAAGUUGCAUCUACUCCAGAUGAAGCUUUUAAAUAUGCCAGUGAAAUCGGUCAAAUUAGUGGAGCACCAGAUGUUGUGGUUAAAGCUCAGGUGCUGGCUGGUGGGCGUGGCAAGGGCAAAUUUGACAGUGGUCUGAGGGGUGGAGUCAAACUGGUCUUUUCGCCAGAGGAGGCAAAGGAAAUAGCUGAAAAAAUGAUAAACCACAAAUUGUUUACCAAACAAACGGGGAAAGAUGGACGACUGUGUCAGAAGGUCAUGAUUGCUGAGCGACUUUAUUCUCGGCGUGAAUACUACUUUGGCAUCACAAUGGAAAGAAACUUUGGAGGUCCAGUAUUAGUUGGAAGUUCACAGGGGGGUGUCAACAUUGAGGAAGUAGCCGCAGAAAACCCCUCAGCCAUAAUCAAAGAACCUGUAGAUAUCAUCAGUGGCAUUACCCGUGAUCAAGCUGUGCAUGUUGCAAAAGAAAUGGGCUUCAGUGACCAGUGCAUACAAAAAGCUGCUGAUUAUAUUAUCAAAAUGUACAAUGAUGUGUUCCUCAAAUUUGAUGCUUCAAUGGUGGAGAUCAACCCCAUGUCUGAAGACAACCAUGGAGAGGUUUACUGCAUGGAUGCCAAGAUCAACUUUGAUGACAAUGCAGCCUAUAGACAGAAGGAGAUUUUUAGUUUGAGAGACUGGACCCAAGAAGAUGAGAGAGAUCACAGGGCAGCCUUAGCUGACCUGAACUACAUUGGGUUGGAGGGCAAUAUUGGCUGUUUAGUGAAUGGUGCUGGACUUGCUAUGGCAACUAUGGACAUCAUCAAGCUCCAUGGUGGUACGCCAGCCAAUUUUUUGGAUGUAGGGGGUGGCGCCACAGCCCAGCAAGUCACUGAAGCAUUCCGUUUGAUUACUUCGGACAAAAAGUUGCAGGUGAAUGCGGUGUUGGUAAACAUUUUUGGCGGUAUCAUGCGCUGUGACAUUAUUGCUCAAGGCAUCUGUGCAGCAGCCACUGAACUAGAUAUGAAAAUUCCCAUUGUGGUGCGAUUGCAAGGAACACAGGUUGAUGAUGCUAAAGCCAUUAUUGCAUCCAGCAAUCUGAAAAUUCUUGCCUGUGAUAACCUGGAUGAGGCAGCACGCAUGGUUGUGAAGCUGUCCACAAUUGUAGAUUUAGCACGUGAAGCUUCUGUUGAUGUCAAGUUUGAACUACCACUUUAAGUAAAGGAAUAUAUAUACCAUGUCUUCACUGAGUCUGCACAAUGUAAGAUGGGGCUUCCAUUAUUCUCGAAGUGAACUUCUAAGGAAAUGGGCUUUCUUUCAUCCACUGAAAACAAAGCAGCAAAAUUUUAACAAGACUUGUCAGCAUGAAACUUAGCUCAAUGUUUCCCAGUGUGAAGUUGAUAUUUCAAACUUUAACAAUGCUGCAUGUUCUUAAUGAGUAGGUCACUGUAUGGGCACAUGAUCCCAGAUAAAGAACCUUGCAAAUAUCUGAAGUGCUUUAAUCAGUAUAACGUACUAUAGUAAAAUUGACUGAAAUUUACACAGGUUUUCAUGCUGUCUUUAUCGUAAGUGAGUUACAGUUUUAUAUAGGCUUGCUUGUGCACUAGAAUGCUGUUAGGUAGUGUGUGUUAUGCUUUUGUAAUUGUCAGGAUUAGCACUUAAUAAUAAUUAUGUUAAUUUGUAAAGCACAAUAUUUUGGCAAAUAGACAAACUCACUGUGCUGAGCAGGAUCUUCAAAUAGUCACAAAAGAUGUAAAACACAAUGUGAAGACUCGCAGUGUUCUGGUGGUAAAGGGUUAUAACUACUGAUUUAACAGUGAUGGCUCCAGAAAACAAGGGUUAGUGAUAUCAGGAAAAACAUUAGGAAAUCUUGAGAGUAUAAAGAAAUGUUAGCAUAGUAAACAGAAAAGAAGCAUCACUUCAGUUUAUUCACUGCAAACCAAGUUUGCUGCCCAAGCAAGUGAAGCAUGCCAGAACCAAUCAGUUCACACUUCGGAAGAACAAUAGGAGAUAGCUUUUUUUAUCUGCAUAUUUCUAGCUAGUACAAUCAGUUGCACUUUAAAGGAUAGUGUCUGUUGUAUCAGCAUUCCUGGUCCCUGAAUACAUGCUGUAAGUAGGGAAAAUCUUUGCCUUUGAGCUAAUUAGUCAUUGAUAGUUUUUGUAACCUGCUUCAAUCUCGCUGCAGCUUGUGAAGCCUGUGACUCUUGUAGUGCUAAUUGACCAACCUGGUUGCUUCUUGGUAUUUUGUGUUCUCUCUGCACUUAGCUGCAGCACCGAAGUAGCAUUGCAUGAAUGGCCGUUACAAGUACUUUAGUAAUUAAGUUCUGAUUUUUUUAAAAACUAGUUGAAAGCAUCCCUAUAGACUUCACAGCAUACUUAGAGAUGUUAUUAGGAUUUUACCAUUAUGAAAAUCGCAGACUUAAUUGAAAAUAGUAGUGUUUUGUGCAAAACUAAUGUGGCAUAAAAUUUUACUUUGAAAGUACCACAAGUAUCUUCAAGCUGUAUCCCUCAGGAUGUCAACAUUGUGGCUGGUCAUUUUAAGCAGAAAACUGUAAACUGCAGUUUGCCUUCCAGAAUGAGUUGUGUAACCAGAGAUCUGACCAAGAAGAUCACUGACUUAUCCUAAACCCUAAGCAAGAUCACUGAGAUUGAAACAAAGCCCAGUUGUACUGCUGCCAUUGUUUGAACUGUUAUUAUGUCCUUUGUGUCCAGAUGAUCUACUUCCAUCUUUGAAGGUGUCAAGUAAUCAGCUGCUUUUUUCAAGGUCUUCUCUCAGCUACCAUACGCAUCUGUGAGCCUCUUGCUUCUGGUCCUUCCUCUUGCUGCAACACAAUUAUUGUCAGCAGCACACACCUUGCAAGUGUCUUUGCUACAUUGUGAUAAUUGCUGGCAACAUAUCUUACAGGUGUUUGUGCUGUAGUGUGACAGUUGUUUGCAGCUUGUACCUGAAAAAUGAUUGUACUAAAGCUAUCCGAUACCAGCUUCUGUGCUACAGAUGUGAUACUUCUGUUACAGUGACUGUUGUUGAUGCUACUAAGAAAUCUCUGCCCAAGACAUGGAUAUUUCUUGACAAGCUGAAGUUGUGGUGCUUUAAGCAGUUGUUUUUUGCCCUUUUCAAGGAAAUGCUUUUGCAACAUGAUACACAAAAAAAUCUACAAUUGUGGAUAGUUUCACAAUAUGCAUCCCAGCUAUUUUAAUAUGAUGCCCUUUGACAUGUAUUGACGUGCUAUUUAUCAAUCUGCACCCCUUUUCAGUUUCUCUAUGUAGAGGUUAGCUGUGUGCUGUAGCAGUAGUGUACUUGGCAUUGUUUGUGAUUACCUCUGAUUAUUCUGUUGACAUAACUUCUUUUCCAAGCCUAUUGCUGUUUCAGUGAGCAAUAUUGUCGCUUACAAUUGUCAUGGAUGAUUUCUUAGCCAGGUAUGUAGUCACAGAGUUCCAUUCAGCUGUGUUAUUGUCACCAGAAGGAGAGUCAUCUGAUCGCACUCAGCUGCCUAUAUAUCUUGUGCAGGCAUUACAAAUCUGAGGUCUGCCUGUCUGAGAAAUGUUGGCAGUAUGACAACCAUAGGCAGCAGUAGUGGUAAUUGUUUCUGACCUUUGCUCUUCUGCUAGAGGGGCUCAUGACUGAGUGUGUAAUACUUAUUCUCAAGAAAAUCAACCUGACUGGGAGAAAAGAAACUUAUGACAACCAUUAUGAUCUCUUGCACAUUGUAGAGUAACAACUAAUCAUACAGACAAAGCCACACAGAACAAUGGUGAUAGCUCAGACAGAACAAUGGUGAUGGCUCAGAUAAGUCUCAACAUUAUUUGUAAAAUUGUGAUACUGAUGAGAUUCAGCCUGGAAAUGGAGUAUUGAAUUCUCCAGAUUUGUCACUGGCUGAAAUUAGGAAUGGCCUUUGCCUUGUUUUUUGCCUUUUGAGAAAUGAUGGCUUUCACUUUUCAGCUGAUUAUUUGACAGCACUGUUCGAAUCUGUUGUAUUUGUUGAAAAAAUAAGUAAAUAGUAUCUGCAGGUAAUUUGCAGAAGUUACCACUUAAAAUGUGAAUAUUGCAUUUAUUAUUAAUAAUGAGCUGAGCUGUAAUGACAUACCAUGAGCCAUGUCUUGUUUAAUUUUGCAAUAGCAAAUGAAAAAAAAAAAACAUUAGUGGUGUGCUAUGUAUGUGUAUCACCUUUUAAACAGUUCACUGUGUUCUAAACAUCUUACCAGUGAAGAUUUCAUAUCUCCAUCUGUCUUAGAAAAUGCUAGAGGUGAUGCCCCACACUGUGAUGAACGUAUGUAAAUAGGAGAGCUUGUGAGUCACAAUCAGACUACUUUCUGGUAUCUGUGUAAGUGACAACUUGUUAGUCACAAAUCAGACUGCUUUGUAAUCACAAUUUUAAGUGCACCAAUAACUAAACUGUUUAUUUUCCCUGUGUAAAUACUUGAAAGCCAAAAUAACAGAGAAAUCCUUCUUGCAGGAUUCUGGCUGAUGUAUGUUGCAUCUCCUUAGAAUGCUUGUGUUAAUAAUACAAGGAAGAAAAAGUCCUAACAUUUCUAUAAGAAAUGUCUUUUUGAUUUUUUUUUUUUUUUUUUUUUUUUUUUUGUUAAGCAAUUUUAAUUUUGAAUCCUCUUUCAAAACUGUGUACAUGUUCUUCAGAUUUUACAGAAUCCCAGGGUAAUGUGCGCUUUAAACAGACUGGUAGCAUCAUCAGAUGCCUGCUGUAGCCAUUUUGAAAUAAGUUUUGAGAAAGUUUAUAAAAUGUUACCCUAUGCCACCAUAUUUAUAAGGUCUUUUGGGCCAGUCAGAACAUUAUAUGUUUGUGUCCAAAAUCAAAUGACAUCUUAAUUUGACCAGUAGAAAAUAUGCACUACAAUAUUUGUUAUUGCUUUUCAUCGUUAUAAGCAUCUUCAACUUAGGAAGAAAAUAUUUGAUUUAAUAUUUAAUCCCAAAUGCUGACAAUGAUAAAUAAACAUUAAUAACUGGAGCU